AGUUAAUAAGCUUAAAGCAUUUGUUUUGAAAACAAAAGAUAGAAUUUCUAUUCUAUUAACUUC
rnacentral:tRNA from 1 species